rnacentral:rRNA from 1 species
CUACGGGUCGCAGCAGUGAGGAAUAUUGCACAAUGGGGGGAACCCUGAUGCAGCAACGCCGCGUGGAGGAUGACGCAUUUCGGUGUGUAAACUCCUUUUAUAUGUCAAGAAAAUGACGGUAGCAUAUGAAUAAGCACCGGCUAACUCCGUGCCAGCAGCCGCGGUAAUACGGAGGGUGCAAGCGUUACUCGGAAUCACUGGGCGUAAAGGACGCGUAGGCGGGUUGGAAAGUCAGGUGUGAAAUCCUACAGCUUCACUGUAGAACUGCACUUGAAACUUCUAAUCUAGAGUAUGGGAGGGGGAGAUAGAAUUAGUGGUGUAGGGGUAAAAUCCGUAGAUAUCACUAGGAAUACCUAAAGCGAAGGCGAUCUCCUGGAACAUUACUGACGCUAAGGCGUGAAAGCGUGGGGAGCAAACGGGAUUAGAUACCCUGGUAGUC